GCCCACCUGAGGUCAAUUGCCCUCUAACUGGCUCUAUCCCCUUCCCUUGGGGAAUGAAGACUGCCACGAUGCUGUCUGCUGCACACUCUGGGGUGUCCUCCAGGACCUUGCUUCAGCCAUGUCUUAUUUGCAGCAUGUAGGAUCAUAGUUCCCUAACCAGAUAUGAAACCCAGGCCCCCUGCAUUGGAAGUGCAGAAUCUUAGCCACACUGGACCACCAGGGAAGUCCCUCAUCUCUGUCACUGAAGCAUACAACAGCCAUACAUAAUAAGUAAACAAAAGGCAAGUUGUUGAUGAAGAAGACGAGAAGAGUGCAUAGGACCAAGAAUUCUCAAGAGCCAGAAGGGGAUAAGUCUUCUUCUGAAACUAAAAGGAGACAUGAAUCAUGGAUACAAAUAGAAGAUGUCUUUGGAAAGAGAAAGAAGGCAGUUCACAGCAGACUUCUCUUAUUCAGUCUUGGUCAGAUGUCUCAGUCAUCUUGCUCCUCCCCUUUCAGCUUCUCUCUGUUGUUGCUGGUGCUCUCUAAAGCUUCUGUCUUAGGCCCUAUUCCUUCUGAGCUGCCAACUUCUCCUUCAUGUUUGUACCAUAUGAGAAGACUCAAAACCCGGAAAAUAUUCUAAAAUUAGUUAUGCAGGCACUCAAAAACAUAUUGAGAACACUUUCUUGCUAGUUGUUCACGGAUUCCAGAUCAUCUCAGUUUGAUUCCAUGAGCUAUGGAAAACCCCCCAAACUGAAGUUUGUAUGUACAUAAUUUCCUCUCCGUGAAUAAACUGAUCCUUGAGCCAAAGCAUCCUGGCAGACCCAUAUCAAUUUGACAUCCUGUAGACGGAUUUAGAUCUAACCACUUUUUCUCAGAACACUUCAAAGCUUCAUUUUUAAAAUAAUAGUUAUUAUAACAAAAAAUUAAUCUUAAAAUUAUGUUUUAAAAAUGUUUUAGAAGAUACUACUUUCAACUUAGGUUUAAAUUUUGUUAAAAAGCAAUACAUAAAUAUUGUAUACAAUUUCAAAUAGUAAAAAUGUUACUUAAAAGAAUGUCCCCCUUUCUCAAAGACAACUACUGUUAGAAGUUUCUGACUUGAAUCCCACAUAAGCUGUUAAUAGUAACAGAAUAGAUCAUUUUGCUUAGGUGUGAUAACUGUACUAUUUUUUUGAGUCAUUGUUUUCUAUAGAUAAAUAUUUUUGGUCAAAAAAGU
ensembl:lncRNA